GAGUGCACAAUGUCAUCAGCGUAAUGAGGAGUAAACAUUUAUGCUAAUAAUCUACAAUUUUUUCCCCCCUCGUCGCCUAUAAAAAGGGGAAAUAAAGCAGAGAUUUUCAGUCAUUUUCUGAACUCUGCAGCUAUAGCAUUGGACCGACACAUGGAAGGCAUUUUGUGGGGAUUUAGAGCGCUGAUGUGGAGCCUGUGCUGCGGGGAAGCUUUUCGCUCAUCUGCAUCCAGGCUGAUUCCUGAAGCUCCAGGGAAGGGAGUUCAAGAUUCAAACCGAAAGCGUUCAGAGGCGCUCUCCUCUCCAGAAGGCAAGGGGGUCGCGGUGUGGAAAAAGCCCCCGGUGAACUGGUGGAAAUGCUGUCCCCAUUACAGCAGCAGCAGGGGUCAGGCCAUGGCAGCAAGCAUCCAAGCUGCCCAAAAUUGGCUGCAAAAUGACCAAUUACCUGAGUGAAGGCUGAGGAGAAAGGACUUGGAAAAAUAUGGCUUUUACUUAAUUCAGCUAAACUGUAAAAGAAACUAGUGUCACGGCGAUGCCUCAUACUUGCUGCAUGUCGCAGCAUCCCACCUGUUAGGAGGGAAGAUCUGCGCCUCAGGCAGGAAAUGCAUUUAUAGAUAAGUGAGAAGCGGGGAUAACGUUUGGCGGAGUGACGUAACUGCUGGAAUAAUGUUGGAAUUAUUACACCAAAACAAUGAUUGAUUAAACAUCUUUACAUGUAGGUCUUAUUGAAUUAAUUCCCCAGCAAAUGGAAAACAUGCAAAUUCGGCAAUUAAGUCAUUUGCCCAUGGAGAGAGCGGCUGCUUGACGUUCAGCUGCCACUGCGCCUUUAGUCUGAAACCCUUUUUAGUUUUUUUUUUUUUUUUUUUCCUGUUAAGAGUUAAGUCUCCAACAAAGACAGGAAGGAGGUCAGCACUCAGCCAACACCUGAAUGCAGCUCUCUUUUUUGUGCUCCCCUUGAUCCCCACAGUCUGUGCCUGUCAUUAGUCUUAAUGAUGGAAAAUUGUCAUGUUGAUACAAGUCUUGCUCUCCCCCUCUCUUCUUUGUAUAAGUAGAAGGUGGAAGCUCCAUUUGUAACAAAGUUCUUUGUGACUAAAAGCCGUGGACAUUGCAUUUGUGCCGCGGGAGAAAAAAGGGGGCUGUAGAUGCUCUUUCCAUAGCUGGGAUAAUUAUUCCUACUGUGACCUUAAUGAUUCGCUCUGUUCAUCCUGCAUCUCAUCCACGCGCCAGGCCCUCAGCGGAGCCCCGUGUCAGGGAAUAUGAAAAACCCAUAUAAUGAAACCAUUUUGGGCUGAUGGAAAAAAGGGGGCUACUGGAGCCGCACUUGCUACAAAGACGGCUCAAUUAUAUGAGUAAUUGUGAUAAUUUUCCCUCCAUUCACUGCGUUCCCUGAAAGGUAAAAAACACAGAUGCUGAAAGGGAAAUUACUUGGACAAUAUAUAAUCUGUGAAAUGGUCACAACAGAAAAAAAAGAUGACUGUAAGAAAGUGAAGGACUAUAAAUAGGUAUGUUAAUGCAGGGCCACAUAAAUACACCCUCAGAAGCUCGCAGACAUAAACAAACAGCACGCCACUGAGCUAGUCCACAAGAAGAGAGAGAAGGGAUGGAGGAGAGGGGUGAGGGGAGGGGAAGCAACAAAUGACCACAAAAAAAGAAGAAGGUAGAUGUGCAGCUGCCAAAAAAAUUAAACCUCCUUCUUCUUCUUCCUAUUGACGAAUUUCAGCUCCUGAAAAUGCACCCCCAUAGUUGGCUAUCAUUUGUUGUUCUCUGACAGGAAAAGGAUAAUUAUCUCUCUCAGAGGCAGCGAGACUGACAUGCCCUUUAGACUUUGCCAUGAAUGCAGAGGCUUGAUGGAAAGCUUGAGGAAUAAUUUUGUUCUUGUGCUUUUCCUUCAUCUUCAAGAGCAUGUUUUAUUCCAAAGAACAUGGAGAUGACAGGACUGUGGAGUGCAUUAAACCAUUUGGAUUCUUUCCGUAAAUAAGGCAUCGCUCCAUCUGUCAACGUCUACAUUUUUUUUGGGGCGGAAAACAAAUAAAAGAACUUGAAAAUACUUUAAAAUGUCAAUUCUGUUCCAGCGUAAGGGAUAUGGGACAGAGAGAUGCAUAUGUUUCUUUUAAAUGCAAGUUAAACAUUGUUGUUGUUUUUUGUUAACAAAAAAGUAGAAGAGAGGUGCAUAGUGCACUUAAAUGCAUUUUGCUGGGACUUUAAGUGACAAAACCACACAAAGAAUAACUGUGAAGUGAAAGAAAAAUGAUGCAUGGUUUUUAAUUUUUUUGAUGAGAAUACUUCGUACCUGCGACAAUUGUUUGUCUUCUGCUCCCUGUGACUCGCAGAGCACCGAAUGAAACCCACUACGCCCAAUUGCCAUAAGAAGUCCACCUUAGAAGCAGAAAAUUUGAGAAAUUUAAAGCAGAAUUAGCUUAAAGGCCCACAGUAAACAUGGAGGACCUACAGAAAACACAGGAGACUGUUUUGCUCAGAUACAUAUAAACUGUGCACUCCACAAAUCAGUUUUGUUAUUGCAGACUGGUGAGAAGAAAAGCUUGAUGGAAAGAAAGACAUCUAGGCUCAUUUAAGGAGACGCUCUGCCCAGUUGAAACCAAAUUGAAACGUGUAUGUGAGGGAAAACUGUCGAUGCAAAUCAACUUGAGCUCAACAUGGUGAUGGAAGCAUCGUGGUGUGGGGACGCUUUUCUCGUGCAGAAAUGAGAAAUCUUCAGUGGAUGGAGCUAAAUGCAGGAUGAUCUAUGAAGAAAACCCAUGUUAGGAGGAACUUGGUCACAUGAGAAUGGCCAUUUCUCUCCACUUCAGAGUGAUGUGCUGCAUUGUGUGGGUCCAUCACAACCAUGAACAUAAACAGAAACUCACUGGUUUUAAUGUGAUGAUAUGUGGAAAAACUUCAAGAGAUCCAGUAGCCAUCAUAAUUCAGCAGCGAUUACAUCCUUCUGUUUUGAAGAUUUCCAGAUUUGGGAGACAAAACAUGAACACAAGAAGAACCUGCUGCAUCUUUUUUUUUUCUCACGUUUACCCCGCCUCUCCAACCCACCAGUUUUCCUUCCUCACACAUGUGACGCCGCUGGCCCCUCACACACGUCCGCCUGGAGCAAAUCGUCCCAGUCAAGCUGAGCUACAUUGCAGCCUUUCAGAUCAAAACACUCGUAUCACACCGAAAUGACAAGCCGACGUCACGAACCGUGUCAUCGGUUUCACCCUCCCACCCCAAUAACUUCCGUCCCAUUGAGCCGCCUUCUGUGUUACGGCGCCAAGACAGCGCGAGACCCCCCGGUCCUGCUUGAUUGUGGCUCUUGUGACACGGAGGAGCAGCUCGGUCCCACCAACAGCCUGAACUCUGCGUCGCACACAAACAGACGUGCACGCACACAAAGCCCCUCUAAAACCUCCAAUCUGAAAUCAGCGCACCCCACUGUGAACUUCCUGACAGCCUCCUGAAAUGUUUUCAACUUGUCAGAUCCCCACAGUCGUACUCCGGGGUGCAGAGAACACAGCAAAACAAUAAUCAUGUGAUCAGAAAUGGAGGCCAUGUAAAGGCUGUUUGGGCUGCAUCUAUCAGCCCCUUUCAGCUGCUGCUCUCUCUUAGUUGUUCACACAGAAACCCAGGGAGUAAUAUCUAAACUGUUUGGCCACCUUGUCACAGAAGCAAACAUGCUCUGAGGUGUUUGUCAAUUGCAGCAGCAGCAGCAGCAGCAGCCGCUGAGACUUUUGAGCACAAACAAGUUUUUGCAAACAGGUUUAUUUAUACUGACAGCAGCGAGCUGGAAAAUUAUUAGGAGGAUGAAAAGAAGAUGAAGGAAGUUAUUUUCUUCUUCUUUUUUUUCCCCUGAGGCGAUGACAAGAGAGAGCUCAACUCUCUGUUUUCCCAACACUGACAGAAAUGUAUUCUGUUUUCAGCAUAAAGGCCAAACAGAACCUCUGCUUUUAAAGGUCAGCGUUAAAUCAGAGGUGGAGGUUUUUCAUCAGCUGACCAUGAGGUCCCUUUUCACAUUUCAGCCUUUAAGCAGAACAUUGUUGUGAACCUCUAUGGGCUCAUGAGGACUGGGUUCAAACGAGGUGAAGAUGUGACAACAAGCUUCAAACCAUCUCAGUUCACGGUUCAUUUAAUCCUAACACUGAAUUUAAUAUUUAUUUUUUUUACACUUCUGCCAAAUCGGGAUUUAUCCAGGCAAUACUGGAUUCAUUUUUCCAGACCGUAAAAGCAACACAAUUAAGCCGAGAACAGUUCAAGCUGCAACUGGGAUUGUAUUUGCUGAGUUAUUGUAUUUUGUAACAGUGUAACAUGCAAUAAAAUAAAAUUUAAUUCACCAUGAAACAUGAAUUAACCUUUAAAAUGGGAUUAAAAAUAAAAUCCCCCAGCCCCUCAGUCAGCCAAAACAAAAAUUCAGUUUUCCAAUUUACCAUCAUUAAAAGUACAAUUUUGUACCCUUGUCUGCCAGCAAUAAAAUUUACGACUUUGAAAUAAAUAUAGGAUUACAGUAGAGCGCAAUUCUGCACCUCAUGUAAUCCUUUUCAUUCAAAUGUUGUGUGCAAAUAUUCAGUACUCAGAUUAAAACUCUGUUUUUCUGUAUUAUGUGAUCCAGAGCACAUGUGUCUAACUCAAGAGCCGGGGGCCAAAUCUGGCCCACCAUAGCUUUUUAUGUGGCACUUUAGACUCCAAAUUAUACCAAUUAGUCCCUCCAGUUUUUCACAAAUCUCCAAAAUUCAUGGAAAAUCCAUACAAAAUCAACCGAUCCCCACAUUCUUUUUCUGAUUUUUACUGAAAAUGUUUCUUAAAAUUGUCCGAAAAGUUUAAGUGACUGCUGCCUCAGCCUUACUUGAUGUCAAACUGUAGUCCGUGACCGAUAUGGCGAGUAAUAAAAGUCACAUUUUGUAUCAUACAUUAGCAAAAGUAUCAAAGAAAUUCCUUACAAACAUUUCUAAAUUAGCAUAACAAAAUCUGUGAUUUUGACUGCAAAACAAAAAAAAAAACAACAACAAAAAAACAAAACAAAAAACCCCACAAACAUUCACAAAAUCCUGAAUGGACUAACUACUGUGAAAAGACGUUCAAUAUCAUUUAAUUUUAUGAAGUGCUUAUGGAAUACUGACACAAACAGCCAUUUAUUGAUAUCUUAACAAUUUAACAUUUUAAAAGCAUGUUAUAUGCUUUUUAAAAGUGUGACCUGCAGCUCCUCUUCCAGCUUCAUGUUUUUAUGUUGAGGUACAGAGUCACUGAAUAAAUCAGAUUCUGUCCCUGCAAACAAACAAAUCUGCAUAAUUCCUUGCUUAAAGUAGGGAAGUAUAAUUAAACUAAGCAAAUCGACCAAUACAUAUGCAGAAAAGGACUUUGACACCAAAAGGAAUGAAAAACCCAGCUGGCCACCUUGUACCUCGUAAGUGGUCUGAAACCCCUUUACUUUUAUUCAAAAAUUGCUUAAGACUUCAAAAUAAGAAAAAGGAUUAGAUUUAAAAAAAAAA